CCGGCUGCCGGCCCCGCUGCCCCGUCUCGCUCCGCCCCCCCGCCGGCAUGGCGCGCUCCGAGGAGGUGCAUCGCCUCACCGAGACCGUCUACAAGACGAUCAUGGAACAGUUCAAUCCCAGCCUCAGGAACUUCAUUUCCAUGGGGAAGAACUAUGAAAAAGCCUUGGCAAGCGUAACGUAUGCUGCAAAAGGAUAUUUUGAUGCUCUGGUUAAAAUGGGGGAGUUGGCCAGUGAAAGCCAAGGAUCUAAAGAACUGGGGGAUGUUCUCUUCCAGAUGGCAGAAGUUCACAGGCAGAUUCAAAAUCAGUUGGAAGAGAUGCUGAAGUCUUUUCACAACGAGCUACUGACGCAACUGGAGCAGAAAGUAGAACUGGAUUCCAGGUAUCUAAGUGCUGCGUUGAAGAAAUACCAGACUGAGCAAAGGAGCAAAGGGGACGCGCUAGAGAAGUGCCAGGCAGAGCUGAAAAAACUUCGGAAGAAGAGCCAAGGGAGCAAAAACCCUCAGAAGUACUCGGACAAGGAGCUGCAGUACAUCGAUGCGAUCAGCAACAAACAAGGUGAGCUAGAAAACCACGUCUCUGAUGGCUAUAAGACAGCGCUCACAGAGGAGAGGAGACGGUUCUGCUUCCUGGUAGAGAAGCAGUGUGCUGUGGCUAAGAACACCAUCUCCUACCACGCCAAGGGGAAAGAGAUCUUGACACAGAAGCUCCCGAUUUGGCAGCAAUCUUGCUCGGACCCCAACAAGAUCCCAGACCGGGCUAUCCAACUGAUGCAGCAGAUGGCCGCCAGCAGCAAUGGCACAAUCAUCCCCAGCUCCCUGUCUACGUCCAAAUCGAACCUAAUCAUCUCAGACCCUAUCCCCGGGGCCAAACCGCUCCCUGUCCCACCAGAGUUGGCGCCCUUCGUGGGGCGCAUGUCAGCACAAGAGACCAUUCCCGUGAUGAAUGGCGUCUCGGGCCCUGAGGUCGAGGACUACAGCCGUUGGUCCGAGAUGAAGCCAGCCCAGCCAAAAUCCCUAUCUCCUCCCCAGCAUCAGAAGCAACUGAGUGACUCGUACUCCAACACACUUCCUGUGCGCAAGAGUGUCGCACCGAAAAACAGUUACGCAACCACUGAAAACAAGACCUUGCCACGCUCCAGUUCCAUGGCUGCCGGGCUUGAGAGGAACGGCAGGACGAGAGUACAGGCCAUUUUCUCUCAUGCUGCUGGUGAUAACACCACCCUCCUGAGCUUCAAGGAAGGAGACCUCAUCACGCUCCUGGUGCCGGAGGCCCGAGAUGGAUGGCACUACGGGGAGAGUGAGAAAACAAAAAUGAGAGGCUGGUUCCCUUUCUCUUACACGCGGGUUCUUGACAGCGAUGGAAGCGACAGGUUGCAUAUGAGCUUGCAACAAGGGAAAAGCAGCAGCACAGGCAACCUGCUGGAUAAGGAUGACAUCGCCAUCCCGCCGCCAGACUACGGCGUGUCCUCAUCACGGGUCUUCCCACCACAACCUGUCAGCACUUUCAAACAGAGACCAUACAGCGUGGCAGUGCCUGCCUUCUCCCAGGGCCUUGAGGACUAUGGGACAAGAGCUGGAAGCAGCCCCGAUGUUGAAGUGGCCAGGUUUUGAUGUCCCUGACUAGUUACCUGACUGUCAAACAAGAAUAGGAUCUCUGGUCAAGACCCUCAGCAGCGUAUACGGGAAUCCUUUUGCCAACAUCCAGCUGAAACCAACAGUGACCAACGACAGGUCAGCUCCCUUCAUCAGCUGAUCCCUGGGAUUGCUGGAGCCAGCAACCACCUCCCGCCUGCACUGCUGUAUCUGACCCACUGUAGCCGCCUUGUCUGCAAGUCUGUCUUCCCAGACCUUUAUGUUUAGGCUGCGUUUGUUUAAACCUGCUACUGCUGUUUGGAAGCCAAGGUCUAAAGCCCGUGUAUCCAGCGCAGUGAUGGAGGGUGAGGGGGUUAAACUCUGUUACCGUUCGUUCACUCUGGUCAGGGCAGGUGCGGCAGUACAACUGCAGUCACAGCCCUGGGUUCCCAGCCUGUACCUUCCAGCCCCGUUCAGCUCUCCCAGGGCAGACAGAUCAGCAGUAGCUGGGGGACCGUGCUGACCCCACAGCAUGCUGCUGUUUUAAGAGUGGGAAAGCAGCAGCACUCAGUGUACCCCCGGCCGCUCGCUCCUGUCUCCUACACCGAGCAAGAUCAAGGCCAGGGAGGUGGAACCCUCACCCCAGCCCUCGAAAAGGAUGUCAGCAGGGCAGCUGGGACCGAGGCUCCCAGCCUGGGCCCACAGACGCAUGCUAGUGCACUACCCAGCGUGGUGUGGAUGGGGUGGGCCAGGCCUACCCCGCUUGUGCUAGCAGGAGCCCUAUUAGCCCCCCUCUGUGGAGCUGGGCUGACUUGCAGAACCCCCUCUGCUGCUGUUUAGAGCUGCCGAGGGCAGCGGGUGGCCAAGCCUUGGCCCCUUCCCUUCUUCGGGCCUGCAGCAAUUCUUGGCCAGUGGAACAGCAGAGCUGUGCAAAGCGCCUCUGUUCUCCCCCAAACUGCUGCUCAGGGCUGGCUAGCCCGGCUCGUGCAGACAACUAGCGUAAGGGCCAGCUGCUCCCAGGCAGGCCUGCUCCACGUCAGUUAAACAGUUGCUAAUGUUUUUACAGCGCACCCCCCUGGGGCAGCGUCUAUAUUUUAUUUAGCUCAGUGAGGUAUUAUUCAAGCUAGAACAAUAGGCUCUUAGAUGCAACACCCCCUGUGCGGCGGCAACUGGUAAUACUCACCCUCUUACCUGUAAUCGUCUGUAGUGAAACCCCAGGGAAGAGGAAACAGAGGUGUAGGAGGGUGCACCAUGCCCCACUACCACUGUCCAAAAACCUGGCUCUUGCCAGAGACCUGCAAGACCCAAGCUGCAGGCAGCUUUCUGUGCUGAAGGGGGGAGGGUCUGUGACUUGAAAGGGUCUGUGCUGGAAACGUUCCAAGUCCCUGAGCCCCCUCCCAUGCUCGUAGCCACUUCCCCGUGUGUCACUAGUGUCUGCCUCGCAGGCCCCUGCGAGAUGAAGCCUUACAGCUCCCUGAGUGACUGGUUGAGAACUUGGGAUGGGAACCAGGCCCUGGAAGCUCUGGUCAGCAGCCGCCCCCACCCCAGGCUGCUGGCGCGAGUGCUCGGUGUACGAGCCGGUGUCAGGCUCUUUAGUGAGAAACCUCCCCCGUGUUUGUUACAAAGAUCUCUGGUACCCCUUCUCUGCCCUACUCUCCCUGUGAGGCCAUCUCAACUCCACCCCACCUGCCCCAGAGCUUGCACCAAGGCGACUGCAGGCCUUGUGUCCUUACUCAAGCAUGAGGGAAGAGAGAGGGGAAAACAAGCGCCACACCCUGUGAGAGCAGGCCCUGCAGCCGGGCUGGGUCCUUCCCUGCCUUGCUCCAGCAUGGGCUAGAUCAGAACUCAGACGGUGCCCGGGGAAGGGGUGGCCGUCUUCAUGGUUUGUCUGUUUGCACUUUUUUUUAAGGCUAGAUCGCAGAGCACUAGAGCUGCCUGGGUUACUGCAUUCUAGGGUUAGCUCCUAAUAAGCUUAUGCCGAGUAGCAAACGGAACCAAAUGCAGAGUCCAGUGUUUGUAUUUUUAUAUAAAGGAAAGUAGAUUUGACCCCUCUAAUCAGUGGCUGCUUGCUGCAGCUGCUCUGUGCUGUCAUGGCACCCCCAGCCCGGGCAGGGGCAGCUCCUGAGCCACGCAGUAGGCACCACGCGGCAGGUACCUCAGGGGCUGCCUUGUGAAGCUGGAGGGCCCUGCCCCCUGGGGUUAAAUCUGUCCAACGGUGUUGUCUCAAACUCUAAUCUGCUCUUCCUGCGCCCUGCAACUUCCCCUGCUUUUCAGCAGUCAGUGAGGGCUCGGGCGGGCUCCUCUCGCUGAGGUGACGCAAGUCCAUAACUCCCUGGUGCCCGAGGGCUGCCGUUAAACCGGCCUAACCCCUCCUGGAGGUGGCGCUAGGGAGCAGCCUCAGCGAAGCGCUACAGCUGCCCCCCUGCGGCAGUUCGAGUGUAGACAAGCCCUGAGUCUGUGCUGCUCUGAACUAGGCCCCCGUGCAGUGCCAAGCGCUAACGAACCACCCUGGAGACUACAAGGGUCAGCACAAGUGAACCGCCCCUGUUUUCUGCUGUACUAGUUCUCUCUGGGCCUGGUCCCUGAGCUCAGCCCUUGCUCACGUGGGCAUUUUCCUGCUCCGUGAGUGAAGUUCUGCCGGGCUGCAGCCCUGCUGAUGCAGUAAUUGGUUCAGGUGGAGGCAGGGCCAGCUAAAGGCAUAAGAAAUAUUAGCCCAGGUUUAGGGCUGUAUCUGCUGGAGUCCUAGGAUGAGCCCAGCGUCUGACUGCAAAGAGGUUUUCUUGUCUGUGAGCGCUGAAAAUGUAAACGACUGGUGCUGCUGCUUGCCUGAGUGUGCAGCCAGCCUGAAACAAUAGCUGCCCACGAUGUGAACUGCCCACUCAACUCUGACACCCCCUGGGGACAGCCAAAGAGGCCCCAGCUGUGGUGUGCCUGAGGCCCCAUAUUGCCUUAAUUCCUCCCUGUGUGGACCAAAGACAGAACGGCUGCGCAAAUGGGUCCUGAGUGAACUCAAACCUGGCCUCCCACAAAUCAUGGGACCAAAGAGAGGCGAAGGAGCUUGGCGAGGCUGCGGGGCUCCUCUGGGACCAGCUCCAGCCUAAGGUCUCUGGGCGUGGGUCUCUUGUCCUGGAGCUUUCCAUACGGUGCCCACCAUCACGCUGUGCCUUCCUGUGGUGUGUACAACAGCUGGCACUACAGUCACUGGCCCACAGCUCUGGGAAGGAGGGAGCCUAGCAGAACAGUGAUGUCGUCACCAUAGCUACUGCCUUGGGUGGAAGGCUAGGGAGAGAGCAGGCCUGGCCCCUGCUCCCCUCCCACUGGUGCACUGGAUCCCGUGCACAUGGGUGAACCCACAUGCCAGGGAGGCCUGAGGGCUGUUCCCCAUGGUUGUACAUCACUGCACUGCCUGGCCUACUCCCAGCACUGUUCAAACCCUCCCAGAAAGGCUGCCUUGCCUAGAGGAGCCUGCUUAGCCGGAGCGCUUUCAAUGUGGGCAGCCAAGCUUCACUUCCCCCCCAGCAUGGCCCGGUAAGGUGCUGUGCCGCUGCUUCCCUGCGCUUUCUAGUCAGGCUGGCGGAUGCACCAUGUACCCUGAAAUGACUCUUUUUGGAACAGUAAUUUAUGAGCAAUAAAACCCACAAAUCCUU